rnacentral:rRNA from 1 species
AUGCACCCACAAGUGAUCUGCUGGAAUGUUAGGGGCCUUAACAAUCUAGCAAAGCGUAAGGCCGUUCGAGACUUUGUUAGCAUGGUGAAAGUGAACUUGGUGUGUCUACAGGAGACGAAACUUGAUGUAAUUGACACUUAUAUGGUAAUGCAAUGUUUGGGGCCAUCGUUUGAUGGUCACGCUUAUUUGCCGGCGGUUGACACG